UAAUCGGGAGAGACUACUAAUCAUGUAGCGCCGAAGGUGACAGCAGAAACUCUCAGGCAAAAGGACCGGUUGC
rnacentral:ncRNA from 1 species